CGUUGAGACACUGGAUCACAUACGUUCUCCGAAGUUAAGCAACUUCGAGCCUGGUCAGUAUCUAGAUGGGUGUCCGCUUUAGAAUACCAGGAUG